AGAAUCAACGCUGGCGGCGUGCCUAACACAUGCAAGUCGAACGAGAAAGGGGAGCAAUCCCUGAGUAAAGUGGCGACCGGGUGAGUAACACGUGACUAACCUACCCUCGAGUGUGGAAUAACAUCGGGAAACCGAUGCUAAUACCGCAUAACAUCGGCGCUUUUAAGAGAUGCCGAUCAAAGGAGCAAUCCGCUUGAGGAGGGGGUCGCGGCUGAUUAGCUAGUUGGCGGGGUAACGGCCCACCAAGGCGAAGAUCGGUAGCCGGCCUGAGAGGGCGCACGGCCACACUGGAACUGAAACACGGUCCAGACUCCUACGGAGGCAGCAGUGGGGAAUUUUGCGCAAUGGGGGAAACCCUGACGCAGCAACGCCGCGUGGAGGAUGAAGCCCCUUGGGGCGUAAACUCCUUUCGACCAAGACGAUAAUGACGGUACUGGUGGAAGAGCACCGGCUAACUCUGCGCCAGCAGCCGC
rnacentral:rRNA from 1 species